rnacentral:pre_miRNA from 1 species
CAACUACUCCCUCCGUCCGAAAAUACUUGUCAUCAAAAUGGAUAAAAAGAUGUAUCUAGAACUAAUAUACAUCUAGAUACAUCCCGUUUUAUUCAUUUUGAUGACAAGUAUUUCCGGGCGGAGGGAGUACUAC